rnacentral:rRNA from 1 species
GACGAACGCUGGCGGCGUGCUUAACACAUGCAAGUCGAACGGAAAGGCCCUGCUUGCCGGGUACUCGAGUGGCGAACGGGUGAGUAACACGUGGGUGAUCUGCCCUGCACUUCGGGAUAAGCCUGGGAAACUGGGUCUAAUACCGGAUAGGAGCCAUUUUUAGUGUGAUGGUUGGAAAGUUUUUUCGGUGUAGGAUGAGCUCGCGGCCUAUCAGCUUGUUGGUGGGGUAAUGGCCUACCAAGGCGGCGACGGGUAGCCGGCCUGAGAGGGUGGACGGCCACAUUGGGACUGAGAUACGGCCCAGACUCCUACGGGAGGCAGAAGUGGGGAAUAUUGCACAAUGGGCGCAAGCCUGAUGCAGCGACGCCGCGUGGGGGAUGACGGCCUUCGGGUUGUAAACUCCUUUCGCUAGGGACGAAGCUUUUUGUGACGGUACCUAGAGAAGAAGCACCGGCUAACUACGUG